AUUGAACGCUGGCGGCAGGCUUAACACAUGCAAGUCGAGCGGGGGAAGGUAGCUUGCUACUGGACCUAGCGGCGGACGGGUGAGUAAUGCUUAGGAAUCUGCCUACUAGUGGGGGACAACAUCUCGAAAGGGAUGCUAAUACCGCAUACAUCCUACGGGAGAAAGCAGGGGAUCUGCGGACCUUGCGCUAAUAGAUGAGCCUAAGUCGGAUUAGCUAGUUGGUGGGGUAAAGGCCUACCAAGGCGACGAUCUGUAGCGGGUCUGAGAGGAUGAUCCGCCACACUGGGACUGAGACACGGCCCAGACUCCUACGGGAGGCAGCAGUGGGGAAUAUUGGACAAUGGGGGGAACCCUGAUCCAGCCAUGCCGCGUGUGUGAAGAAGGCCUUAUGGUUGUAAAGCACUUUAAGCGAGGAGGAGGCUACUCUAGUUAAUACCUAGGGAUAGUGGACGUUACUCGCAGAAUAAGCACCGGCUAACUCUGUGCCAGCAGCCGCAGUAA
rnacentral:rRNA from 1 species